AUUGUUUUUUCUCUAAAAUAGGGAGAACAUUACAAAUGGUCGAAACAAGCAUGCGACAAUGCGUUUCUACGAGAUAUGAAAACAGUUUGCAGAAGAAAUCAUCCUAGCAAGAAAAGCUGUCUGUUUACCAGUAAACUGUAUCAUAAGGCUGUUCUCCUACUCGGUCAUUUUUUCUACAGAAAACCAUCCUUGAAAUUUUGUUAUGAAAGCUGUGUAGAGAAAUAUGGCGACCCAACAAUUGGUAUUUAAUCAUCUGACAUUUCACGUGCACACAUGUUUAAUUAUAAGAUAUUAAAGUUUGUGAUGCGGUAAACAAUUGUAUUUGGUAAUUUUAAACAUUUUAGUUAUUAAUGUUUAUUGCUUGGUUACUG